CAGUCGCCGCGGUAAUACAGAGGGUGCGAGCGUUAAUCGGAUUUACUGGGCGUAAAGCGUGCGUAGGCGGCUUCUUAAGUCGGAUGUGAAAUCCCUGAGCUUAACUUAGGAAUUGCAUUCGAUACUGGGAAGCUAGAGUAUGGGAGAGGAUAGUAGAAUUCCAGGUGUAGCGGUGAAAUGCGUAGAGAUCUGGAGGAAUACCGAUGGCGAAGGCAGCCAUCUGGCCUAAUACUGACGCUGAGGUACGAAAGCAUGGGGAGCAAACAGGAUUAGAUACCCGUGUAGUCCCUGUCUCUUAUAC
rnacentral:rRNA from 1 species